CAGAUGACAGGAUGCCCGGGAAUGUAAGGAUAGAAGUUUCCGGAUAGAACAAGCCCUUACUUUGUGCUCAUUACCGGAUUGUCUCCUGACAGCCCAGAAUACUCCCCCAGACUCUCCUCCUGAACUGUGUGAAAUCUAUUUUGCAUUUGCAAGUGUCUGGGCCUUCCACGAUCAGAAGCCACAGAUUAAAGAGCCAACUGGAGCAUACCACGUGGCUUUGAAUCACAGCGACACUGGGGUAAAGAGUGUUAUGUCCCCAGGUAAACCCUGGACAGAAAGCCUUCCUUCCCCGUAGCCAUCUCCAUGCAAGUGGUGAGUACUGGUGCGACAGCAAGGGUGUACGGAUUCCUUGGGGGGUAACUAUUUCUAUGAGCUGGCGAAAAGUUCUUAGAGCUCCUGAUCACACAAUUGUCUGAGAACCUGCUGACCCUUGUACCACUCAUUGAAAUUCAUGCUCAACUUGGAGUCUCCAAUGCUUCAAAUGGCUCCUAGAGAACGUGUAGAAAUAAGUGCUCUCUAGAAGCCCAGCGACAGUCCUCAUCAAAGGCUGGUUCCCUCUGUCCAAGGGUGAGUUUUAUGAGAAAGAGAAUAACGCAUAACUAACCACAUUUUAUUCUUUGACAUUCCAAUUACAUUAACCAAGG
rnacentral:lncRNA from 12 species